GACGAACGCUGGCGGCGUGCUUAACACAUGCAAGUCGUACGGUAAGGCCCUUUCGGGGGUACACGCGUGGCGAACGGGCGGGUAACACGUGCGUAACCUGCCCACCCCUUUGGGAUAACGAUCGGAAACUGGUGCUAAUACUGGAUAUGUGCUCCUGCCGCAUGGUGGGGGGUGGAAAGCUCCGGGGGGUGUGGAUGGACUCGCGGGCUAUCAGGUUGUUGGUGGGGUAGUGGCCUACCAAGGCGGCGACGGGUAGGCGGCCUGGGAGGGUGACCGGGCACAUUUGGACUGGGGUACGGCCCAGAAUCCUACGGGGGGCAACAGUGGGGAAUAUUGGACAAUGGGGGGGAGCCUGAUGCAACAAAGGCGCGUGCGGGGUGACGGGCUUCGGGUUGUAAACCGCCUUCCGCAGGGGCGGAGGCGUGUGUGACGGUACCUGCUGAAGAAGCACCGGCUAACUACGUG
rnacentral:rRNA from 1 species